rnacentral:rRNA from 1 species
CGGGGUGAGUAAUGCUUGGGAAUCUGGCUUAUGGAGGGGGAUAACUACGGGAAACUGUAGCUAAUACCGCGUAGUGUCGAGAGACGAAAGUGCGGGACCGAAAGGCCGCAUGCCAUGAGAUGAGCCCAAGUGGGAUUAGGUAGUUGGUGGGGUAAAGGCCUACCAAGCCUGCGAUCUCUAGCUGGUCUGAGAGGAUGGCCAGCCACACUGGAACUGAGACACGGUCCAG